AAGCUCGUAGUUGAAUUUCGGGGUUAGUAGGUUGGUCAUGCCUCUGGUAUGUACUGGUCUCACUGAUUCCUCCUUCCUUAUGAACCGUAAUGCCAUUAAUUUGGUGUUGCGGGGAAUUUGGACUGUUACUUUGAAAAAAUUAGAGUGUUUGAAGCAAGCUAACGCUUGAAUACAUUAGCAUGGAAUAAUGAAAUAGGACGUUCGAUCCUAUUUUGUUGGUUUCUAGGAUUGACGUAAUGAUUAAUAGGGAUAGUUGGGGGCAUUAGUAUUCAAUUGUCAGAGGUGAAAUUCUUGGAUUUAUUGAAGACUAACUGCUGCGAAAGCAUUUGCCAAGGAUGUUUUCAUUAAUCAAGAACGAAAGUUAGGGGAUCGAAGACGAUCAGAUACCGUCGUAGUCUUAACCAUAAACUAUGCCGACUAGGGAUCGGAUGAUGUUAAUUUUUUAAUGACUCAUUCGGCGCCUUACGGGAAACCAAAGUGUUUGGGUUCCGGGGGGAGUAUGGUCGCAAGGCUGAAACUUAAAGGAAUUGACGGAAGGGCACCACCAGGGGUGGAGCCUGCGGCUUAAUUUGACUCAACACGGGGAAA
rnacentral:rRNA from 1 species